rnacentral:rRNA from 1 species
AUGCAGGACAUGUUUCAGAUGAGUGACCUUGAUCGCCUGACUUACUAUCUGGGUUUAGAAGUGAAGCAGGACAAGGAUGGAAUCAGUGUCUGCCAGUCCAGCUAUGCUAAGAAGAUUCUGGAAGAUGCUGGCAUGGAUGAGUGCAAUGCCAGUCAUACACCACUGGAAAAUUGCCUGAAGUUGAGGAAGAACCAGGGAGGAGCAGUGGAUGCAACUGAAUAUCGAAGUCUCAUUGGGAGCCUGCGGUACCUGGUAAAUACACGACCAGAUAUUGCAUAUGCAGUGGGGCUCCUAAGCCGUUUCAUGGAAGCACCAGGAAAGGAACACUGGAUAGCAAUCAAGCAAGUUCUGAGGUACAUCAAGGGCACUCUUAAUCUUGGGUGUAUCUACAGAGCAGAAGGGGAAACUGUUCUCACUGGUUUUAGUGACAGUGACCAUGCAGGAGAUCUUGAUGACAGGAAAAGUACCACGGGUAUUGUGUUCUUCCUCGGUUCAGGUGCUAUUACUUGGUCCUCCCAGAAGCAGGAGGUGGUUGCAAAAUCUUCAUGCGAGGCUGAGUAUAUAGCAGCAGCUACAGCAGCAAGUCAGGCUAUAUGGCUGAGCAGACUGCUUGCUGAAAUGCUAGGUACAAAGGUUCAGAAGGUCAAGUUGCAUGUCAACAACAGAUCUGCAAUUGAACUGAGCAAAAAUCCGGUGCAUCAUGAGAGGAGCAAGCACAUUGACCUCAGGUAUCACUAUAUCAGAGAAUGUGUUGAGCUGGGGCGAGUGGAUGUCGUUCAUGUCAGAACCGGAGAUCAAGUUGCAAACAUUUUCACAAAAUCCCUUGGAAGGAGCCAGUACGCUGAGCUACGGCACAAACUAGGGGUGAUUCAGUGUGUGGCAGAUUAG